ACGUACACUCCUACGGGAGGCAGCAGUGGGGAAUAUUGGACAAUGGGCGCAAGCCUGAUCCAGCCAUGCCGCGUGAGUGAUGAAGGCCCUAGGGUUGUAAAGCUCUUUCACCGGAGAAGAUAAUGACGGUAUCCGGAGAAGAAGCCCCGGCUAACUUCGUGCCAGCAGCCGCGGUAAUACGAAGGGGGCUAGCGUUGUUCGGAAUUACUGGGCGUAAAGCGCACGUAGGCGGAUCGAUCAGUCAGGGGUGAAAUCCCAGGGCUCAACCCUGGAACUGCCUUUGAUACUGUCGAUCUGGAGUAUGGAAGAGGUGAGUGGAAUUCCGAGUGUAGAGGUGAAAUUCGUAGAUAUUCGGAGGAACACCAGUGGCGAAGGCGGCUCACUGGUCCAUUACUGACGCUGAGGUGCGAAAGCGUGGGGAGCAAACAGGAUUAGAAACCCGGGUAGUCCCAUG
rnacentral:rRNA from 1 species